AGGUGCGGGAAGCCAUGUUGAUCGGACAUCACCGUUGCUUUGACUUUACUAUGAAGUUCAGGUUCUCAUCUUCCACAUCACGCAUAGAUCAGUUCUCGAUCUUCAGUUCAGCAACAUCGGUGGUGAGUCCUCAUUCUUCGAGGAUGAGUGACAUGAUUAUGUUUCUUUGCUAUCAGUUUUGGUGGAUUUAGCUGGGGUAUGUCCGAUCACUUCUAGUCAGUUUAGAGGCUUAUUUCACAAAUUGUUGUAUUCAACUUUAGUAUUUGAGUUUUACUUUUCAGUUGUUGUUAAACUCUCAGUUUUCCUAUAUUCAGAUUUAGUAUAUGGGUGUUCCC